rnacentral:rRNA from 1 species
UGCGGCNGCCUACCAUGCAGUCGAGCGGUAACACAAAGAAGCUUGCUUUCUUCGCUGACGAGGCGGCGGACGGGUGAGUAAUGCCUAGGGAUCUGCCCAGAUCGAGGGGGAUAACAUGUGGAAACGACUGCUAAUACCGCAUACGUCCCUACGGGGGAAAAGGAGGGGACCUUCGGGCCUUUCGCGAUUGGAUGAACCUAAGUGGGAUUACCUAGUUGGUGAGGUAAUGGCUCACCAAGGCGACGAUCCCUAGCUGUUCUGAGAGGAUGAUCAACCACACUGGGACUGAGACACCGCCCACACUCCUACUUGAGGCAGCAGUGGGGAAUAUUGCACAAUGGGCCAAACCCUGAUGCAACCGUGCCGCGUGUGUGAAGAAGGCCUUCUGGUUGUAAAGCUCUUUCACUUGUGAUGAAAGGGUGUUGCUUAAUACUAACCUCUGUGACGUUAGGCACAAAAGAAUGACCGGCUAACUCGGUG